rnacentral:lncRNA from 1 species
GUGUUUGCGUGAAGCAGCUCUUCGUUCUAAAAUUGGGAGUCCAGUACAAGGCCAUUGAAUUGGACCAAGAGAUGUCUGUCUAUAUGCUUCAAACUAAGUUGACAAAACAUGUUUGUGGCAUAUGCAAGAAGUGGAAUCAGCCUGACAGUGGAAGUUGGGUGAGAAACCUAUAAGUUAUGCUAGGGUUGUAAAAAUUAUAGUAUUUUGUCUUUGUUCAGGCUCUUUUAUAUGUUCCUAUUUGUUUAUUGAAUGGUUUGAUGAAGAUAACUGCCUAUUUGUUCUUAGGUUGUUGAAGGCCCUUGUAACUCUGUGCCUAUUCCUGACGGGGCAGCUCUAUCAGCAUUUCAGUACUUCGAAAACGUCAGAAAUUUCCUUGUGG